rnacentral:rRNA from 1 species
CAUUACCGAGUUUACAACUCCCAAACCCCUGUGAACAUACCUUAAUGUUGCCUCGGCGGAUCAGCCCGCGCCCCGUAAAACGGGACGGCCCGCCAGAGGACCCAAACUCUAAUGUUUCUUAUUGUAACUUCUGAGUAAAACAAACAAAUAAAUCAAAACUUUCAACAACGGAUCUCUUGGUUCUGGCAUCGAUGAAGAACGCAGCAAAAUGCGAUAAGUAAUGUGAAUUGCAGAAUUCAGUGAAUCAUCGAAUCUUUGAACGCACAUUGCGCCCGCUGGUAUUCCGGCGGGCAUGCCUGUUCGAGCGUCAUUUCAACCCUCAAGCCCCCGGGUUUGGUGUUGGGGAUCGGCUCUGCCCUUCUGGGCGGUGCCGCCCCCGAAAUACAUUGGCGGUCUCGCUGCAGCCUCCAUUGCGUAGUAGCUAACACCUCGCAACUGGAACGCGGCGCGGCCAUGCCGNNAAACCCCAACUUCUGAAUGUUGACCUCGGAUCAGGUAGGAAUACCCGCUGAACUUAAGCAUAUCAA